rnacentral:lncRNA from 1 species
CCAGGGCCGGGCCCACCGAGGAGUCCCAGCCAGGCCUUCGAGGACGCCUCGAAAGUGGCGGCGAGCGUGGCAUGGCGGGAAGAAUGGCAUCCACCUGAAGGCCAAGGCUGGGCCUUCGGGGCUUCUGCGGCCUGAGGCGGCGGGUCUGAGCAAGAACACUCUGCCAUCGCCGCCGGCUCGGGACGGGAAGCCCACCCGUGGCCGAGCACGCAGACCUGGAUGAACCGAGGCCUCGAUGGGCCUGGACGAAGGCUUCUGGCUAAAUCUGGACGUCUAACUGUAGAGAUUGCCGACGCAGGGUAAAGGAGAGGUAGGAGAUGACGUGAAUACCCAGUCGCCAUAAAAAGAAGAUCGUGGACACGUCUUCUGCAAGUGAUUUUGAAAUGGAAUUGUUUAGGCCACCUCUAGAAAGACCCAGGAGCGACACUCGUCCCUGUUUGUUCAGUACCUUAGAAGAUCCAGCAGGAGGAGGAAGAGGCCCGGAGCCAGAUUGGUCAUGUGAAGAAGACGUGUCUCUCUUUUUUAUCCUAUUGUAUUGUGUCAUAGCAAGGUUGUCUUCUGACUGAAGGGGAAGAAAGGUCGGAGACCAGAAUGUCCUCACCAGAAGACACUUGGAGAUCUAACUAGUUACAUGGUCCAGGAUGAAGGGCUACCUAAGAAGCACAGGUUGACUGAGAAACUCCGGAUAGGAAGGUUGACUUGAAUGACGACGCCUGUGGAAGCUUCUGGUGAGAUCCCCAUAGCGAAUCCGCUGGGAUCAACCACUUUCAGACCACAGGGGCACUGACCUGAAGGUGGGCUCUUCCAUCCCUACUUUUUCCUCUUUUCCAUCUCAUAAAACCCCAAGACCACCAAGCCAUUUCACAGAGAGACUGUGGCACUUCUGUCGUUCUGAUUAAAGGACACUUCUGCUUCUGGA